GGGGCAGUAGCUCAGUUGGGAGAGCGCGUGAAUCGCACUCACGAGGCCCGGGGUUCGAUCCCCCGCUGCUCCACCA
rnacentral:tRNA from 1 species